GGAAGAUGGGGGCACCUACAGUUGCAAGGUGGGCACCAGUUGUCAGGAGUUGACAGGAGGGCAUAGCCAGGAACAGCUGGUGUCUCCUUACUGGGACAUGCUGUGACCUGUAGAAUCGUGUCUGACCAUUUCUGGAGGAUGCAGUACUGAAUUCAAGUAACAAGGUGUCCUGUGAACCCCCCACAGUCAGAUGGGUGAGGGAUGGGGAGGGUCACGCAGGGUGUGGGCGGCGUGCCUGGCAUGGGUCCUGCCAAGUUCGUCAGGUAACGUGAUACUUCUCCCUUGCUUUUUGGUAGAUGGACAGUGUGUCACCCUCGGGGAGCAGGUGGGCUGGCAGGACAGGCGGCCCCAGGCCGGGAGAAGGAGACACUCCCAGUGUUCAAUAGGGCCGUCAAGGUUGGCCUUAUUAAGAAGGUGAUGUUAAAGGAAAGAUGAGGGUGUGAGCCAUGGAUGAGGAGCAAUCCGGGCAGAGGAGUCCCCAGCACGAAGGCUUUAAGGUGGAGGACAACCCGGGGCCAGUGUGGCCGGAGCAGAGCGAGCAAGGGAGAGCAUCAGGGGCUGAGUUCCAGGAGACAGCACAAGUCAGUCUUCUGGUGAUUGUAACAGGAUGGUCACCUGAGAACAGUCAUCUACUGACACCCUGAACCAGAAUCUCCAGAAAAGACAGAAAUUUUGAAACAGCAGCAACAACAGAAAUUCAUGAUGUGCUAGGAGACAGGGAUGACUGCAGUCAGAGGACCAGAUGUCUUGAUUGAUUAUUAAGAGAGAGAAACAGGCGAUGUUUGUGGAAUCACAUCACCACAGAAGACAUGCAGACAGGCCUAAUGCAGAGAAGAGUGGAAGUUAGGACGCUCAGCGCAGAUUAAUGGACUCAGGGAGUUGGAGAGGGCUGGCUGGCAGCACUUACUCAGAGGAGCAGAGCCAGGUAUCCCCCUCAAACCCCCCGGCUUUGGGCCCAGGCAGUCAGAAGUUGUGUCGGGGCCAGCCACCAACUCCAGUGAGGGACAGGGAGCCACUUCCAGGAGAUGAAACAUUGUCACAUGCAGUCCAAAGACACCCCUCCUUCUCCCUGCUGCAACACCCGAGGCUGACCAAAGUAGACAGGAACAGUAUCCAGGAUGAGCAAACCAAGCCUCUCUAAAGCAAAACUGCCAACAAGCUGGGAACCACAGCACGCUGGAGGGAAACCAGCAGCAGGAGAAAGCAGCAGCAAGCACAGCAGAAAGAAGACGUGGGGCCGCCUUCCGGACGGAGACUCGGUCAGACACACGGCUCCUUCAAAGGGAGUGCCAAAGGCCUUGAAGAGUAGACGGUCAAAGUGGCACAGCCAGGAAAGCAGGACUCACAGAAUGGGCAGCAUGAAGAGUUGCAUAGCCACGGACUAUUGAGAACGCAGACCCAGAACUGUUACCGCACUCAGACGUCAAAAACCGAGAGCUAUUCCCGAGCACAGACCGAGGACCAGCGAGUCCAGGACUCGCUGAUGCAGAGCUCCAGGACUGACAGGCGGGGAGAGCGAGAGGAAAAGCUGAGGCCAAGCGCGAUGCUGAGAAGCUCCAUAUUCUGUUUAACAGGAGUCUGAGGACCAGGAAAGAGAGAAUAUUGAGGGGAAGAUAAUGGAGACAUCCUAGAAGAUCGUCUCCCCGAGCACAGAGCGCAUCACAGGACUGACCAGUAUUGAGUGGGCGCGGGGAAAACAUGGCUGCCAGGACCUGUGAGGACCGAGUUUCAGAUACUGUGGACAGCGGAGACUCCACAGGGGCUCUGCAGGAGGAGACGGGAGGCGAUAGCCCCUGCAAAGCUCUGGCUGGUGAUUGGCAUCAGACUUCUCAAUGAGAAACUGUACUCUAGAUUUAAUUAGAACAGUAUCUUCAAAAUACUCGGGAAAAAUGAUUUCAAACCUGGAAUUGUAGACACAGACAGACUAGAAUUCAAAUUGAAGGGCAAAGGAAAAGUGUCUUCAGAUAGUGAAGGACUCAGAGGUUACCAGCCUCAUCCCUAAUACCCUGACAAAACUAAAAAAAAGACAACUAUCUAUGAAAGAAAACAAGUUUUGAUUCCACAAAUAAUGGAGAGG
rnacentral:lncRNA from 1 species